CCCUAUGGGGUGCAGCAGGCGAGAAAACUUUGCAAUGUGCGAAAGCACGACAAGGUUAAUCCGAGUGUUUCCUGCUAAAGGAAUCUUUUGUCAGUCCUAAAAACACUGAUGAAUAAGGGGUGGGCAAGUUCUGGUGUCAGCCGCCGCGGUAAAACCAGCACCUCAAGUGGUCAGGAGGAUUAUUGGGCCUAAAGCAUCCGUAGCCGGCUGCACAAGUCUUCGGUUAAAUUCAUAUGCUCAACAUAUGGGCUGCCGGAGAUACUGUGCAGCUAGGGAGUGGGAGAGGUGGACGGUACUCGAUAGGAAGGGGUAAAAUCCUUUGAUCUAUUGAUGACCACCUGUGGCGAAGGCGGUCCACUAGAACACGUCCGACGGUGAGGGAUGAAAGCUGGGGGAGCAAACCGGAUUAGAUACCCGGGUAGUCCCAGCUGUAAACUAUGCAAACUCAGUGAUGCAUUGGCUUGUGGCCAGUGCAGUGCCGCAGGGAAGCCGUUAAGUUUGCCGCCUGGGAAGUACGUACGCAAGUAUGAAACUUAAAGGAAUUGGCGGGGGAGCACCACAAGGGGUGAAGCCUGCGGUUCAAUUGGAGUCAACGCCAGAAAUCUUACCCGGAGAGACAGCAGAAUGAAGGUCAAGCUGAAGACUUUACCAGACAAGCUGAGAGGUGGUGCAUGGCC
rnacentral:rRNA from 1 species